rnacentral:rRNA from 1 species
UGGGGGAUAUUGCACAAUGGGCGAAAGCCUGAUGCAGCGACGCCGCGUGGGGGAUGAAGGCUUUCGGGUUGUAAACCUCUUUCGCUAUCGAACAAGGCCCGCUUAGGGUGGGUUGAGGGUAGGUGGAGAAGAAGCGCCGGCUAACUACGUGCCAGCAGCCGCGGUAAUACGUAGGGCGCGAGCGUUGUCCGGAAUUAUUGGGCGUAAAGGGCUUGUAGGCGGCUUGUUGCGCCUGCUGUGAAAACGCGGGGCUUAACUUCGCGCGUGCAGUGGGUACGGGCAGGCUUGAGUGUGGUAGGGGUGACUGGAAUUCCAGGUGUAGCGGUGGAAUGCGCAGAUAUCUGGAGGAACGCCGAUGGCGAAGGCAGGUCACUGGGCCAUUACUGACGCUGAGGAGCGAAAGCAUGGGUAGCGAACAGG